GAAACGCGAACCAAGCAGCCAGUCCCCGCAGACUGCCUAAGACUUGGAGCGGACGCCGGUAACGGCGUCCUGUC
rnacentral:sRNA from 12 species